rnacentral:rRNA from 1 species
CCUACGGGCGGCAGCAGUAGGGAAUAUUGCUCAAUGGGGGAAACCCUGACCCAGCAACGCCGCGUGAAGGAUGAAGGCUUUCGGGUUGUAAACUUCUUUUGACAGGGAAGAUCAUAAGAGGAUCUCACUCGAAUAAACCACGUCUAACUACGUGCCAGCAGCCGCGGUUAUACGUAGGUGGCAAGCGUUUUCCGGAUUUACUGGGUGUAAAGGGCGUGUAGCCGGGCUGACAAGUCAGAUGUGAAAUCCUGGGGCUCAACCCGCGAACUGCAUUUGAAACUGUUAGUCUUGAGUAUCGGAGAGGCAGGUGGAAUUCUUGGUGUAGCGGUAAAAUGCGUAGAGAUCAAGAGGAACACUCGUGGCGAAGGCGACCUGCUAGAAGAUAACUGACGGUGAUGCGCGAAAGCGUGGGGAGCAAACAGGAUUAGAUACCCGGGUAGUC